UGCGUAGGCGGUUAGUUAAGUUAGAUGUGAAAUCCCUGGGCUUAACCUGGGAAUUGCAUUUAAGACUGGUUGACUAGAGUAGAGUAGAGGGAAGUGGAAUUUCCGGUGUAGCGGUGAAAUGCGUAGAUAUCGGAAAGAACAUCAGUGGCGAAGGCGGCUUCCUGGACUCAUACUGACGCUGAGGCACGAAAGCAUGGGGAGCAAACAGGAUUAGAUACCCUGGUAGUCCAUGCCGUAAACGAUGAUAACUAGAUGCUGGGAGGUUAAACUUUUCAGUAUCGAAGCUAACGCGAUAAGUUAUCCGCCUGGGGAGUACGGCCGCAAGGCUAAA
rnacentral:rRNA from 1 species